rnacentral:rRNA from 1 species
AUGGAUAAAUUCAGAGAAACUCUUGAAUUAUGUGGAUUGAGAGAUUUGGGCUACGAAGGAGACAAAUACACUUGGCGGAAUCACAACCAUGUAGCUGCUAGAUACAUAAAGGAGAGAUUGGACCGUGCAGUUGCUUCGAAGGGCUGGUGUUCGAGAUUCCCACGAUUCAGAGUCUUCAAUGCGGAACCACGCCAUUCAGACCAUCGCCCAAUAAUUCUGACCACUGAUCGACAGACAUGUUAUUCACCCAUUAGAGGUGGUCGAGGUUUCAGAUUCGAAGCAAAAUGGUUAGAAGAAGAUGAUUGUGAGGAAGUGAUAAUGAAGGCAUGGCAGAAUGCACGGAUGACUGAUCACUUUAAUGUCUCCAAUGGCCUCGAAAGGAUAGCAAGGGAUCUAAAGAACUGGGAGAUAAACACACUGGGUAAUCUAAAUCAGAGGAUAAAAUGUUUAAAGACUGAACUUGAAGAGGUGAGAAGGAAAGAUAUAUCACAGGAACAAGUAUCACGCGAGCUAUUUUUGAGAGAAAAACUAAAUAGAUUAGAGCAGCAACAAGAUACAUACUGGAGACAAAGGGCGCAUGCCAACUGGUUAAAGUCCGGUGACAGGAACGCAAAGUACUUCCAUGCCUUUGCUUCUGAAAGAAAGAAAAAGAACACAAUACCCAAGUUGAAAAGGGAUGAUGGUGGUUGGGUGGAAGGCCAAGCAAAUUUGAAGAAACUCAUAUAUGAUUACUUCUCAGCCUUGUUUACAUCCACAACCGUAGCAGACAAUGAAGAAGUUACGAGACACGUACAUAGAAAGGUGGACCGACAAAUGAAUGAAAUUUUGUGUGCUGAGUAUUCAAGGCAAGAAGUCAAAUCUGCAAUUGAAGACAUUGGAGAUCUAAAGGCCCCAGGCCUGAUGGAAUGCCGGCUAUUUUCUAUAAAAAAUUCUGGCAUCUUGUGGUGGGAAAAGUGA